UGGCGGGGUGGAGCAGUGGUAGCUCGUCGGGCUCAUAACCCGGAGGUCGUCGGUUCGAAUCCGACCCCCGCAACCA
rnacentral:tRNA from 1 species